AUGAUGUCGUAUUUCUUCAGAGAUAGUUCAAUCUUCUUCUGGAAAGCCAACAGAAUAUGAGUCUAUCACCUGAAUCUGCCCAUUUCAGACGUUUCAACUGAAAGCUUGAAAUAUUUAUGAAGCUCUCUGGAAUGGUGCUUAUCAAGCAGGGAUGGAUGCUUUGGUUCUUCAAAGACUGGCAGACUUCAUCUAUAACCUUUUGGAUCUGAUUUAUUACUAUUGUUUUUUCCCUCAGAUUUGAAUUCGAGGAAGGAGUAGCAGCCCGAACCGAUUGUCAAUCUUAACGGAACCUGUGAAAGAAAGGGUUAACUGAGCAGGUUUGGGCGGCUCCUACUCUACACAUUUCAAAGAAAAGCCUGUCUUCAGGAAG